UUGAUUGAGUAUUAAGAAUUUCUUGAAUAAAUCUUAUUUUAAUACCAGAACGAUUUGAAUUAAAUUCAGUUGUCCGUGAUCAAACUAUGUCUUUGUUUGCGCUGCGAGCACUAAUGAAGAGAUACGCCGGCUCGUUUCAUUCAGCUUUACUAAGAUACGUGUUACGGGUGUGCUCUUUGUAAAUAUUGUGAGAUUUUACAUUUUUCGUCAAGUUUGUAUUUGAACAACUGUCAAGGCUGUAAUAGACAAGGAUUUCACAUGACCAUGACUGCUCUUCCGAAGAGUAACCGACUAUGAUGAUGAUGAUGACAAUGGUGAUGAUGAUAUAUACGAAAAUAUCGAAUUGUAUACGAUAUGAAAUCAGAACGGUUUUAGUUUACUUAAUAUUGUGUUUACAGACGACAGAUAGGGAUCCCCAGAGGAAACCCCGACAAGGAGAAAUGAAAAUAAAGCGUUGAAAACCCACAGUUUCCUCAUUGUAUUCAAUGUAUGAUUUAUGUAAAAUUAAGGAGUAUUUGACUUAUUUCAUUUCUGAAAAUAAUAAUUAUGGACAGUUUUGUAUCCUGUAUGCUACUCAUAUAUGCUAUAAUACUGUAUGAUAUCAGUUUUUAUUAAUUAUAAAAGAUGAAUUAAAAAACCAAAUUAUAA